rnacentral:misc_RNA from 1 species
UUUCCGUAGGUGAACCUGCGGAAGGAUCAUUAUUGAAUUAAAAAAUGAUUGAGUUGUUGCUGGCUUUUAUAAACAAGCAUUGUGCACACUUGAUCUGCUUUUAAAUCUCUCCUCUUGUGCAUUUUGUGUAGAUUGAAACAGAUAUUUUCGAGAUUGUCUCUCGGUUAGAGAAUUUGCCAUUUAAAAGCUGGCUAUUCUUGUGUCUUAGAUCUGCAAUAUUUUUUUUGACACACACACUGCUUUAAAGUAUUAGAAUGGAUAGACAGGUCAUAUUCAAUGCCUGUAAAUAAAUGUUAAAUACAACUUUCAACAACGGAUCUCUUGGCUCUUGCAUCGAUGAAGAACGCAGCGAAAUGCGAUAAGUAAUGUGAAUUGCAGAAUUCAGUGAAUCAUCGAAUCUUUGAACGCAUCUUGCGCUCCUUGGUAUUCCGAGGAGCAUGCCUGUUUGAGUAUCAUAAACAUUUCAACCUGUCAAUUCCUUGAUAAGGCUUGGAAUCUGGAAGUUGCAGGCUCUGUUGUGGUCAGCUCUUCUUAAAUAAAUUAGCGA